rnacentral:misc_RNA from 1 species
GAUGAAGAACCAGCGAAAUGCGAUAAGUAAUGUGAAUUGCAGAAUUCAGUGAAUCAUCGAAUCUUUGAACGCACAUUGCGCCCGCCAGUAUUCUGGCGGGCAUGCCUGUCCGAGCGUCAUUUCAACCAUCAAGCCCCGGGCUUGUGUUGGGGACCUGCGUCCGACGCAGGCCCUGAAAACCAGUGGCGGGCUCGCUGUCCACACCGAGCGUAGUAACUAACCUCGCUAUGGAGUGGCGCGGGCGCCUGCCGUAAAACCCCCAAUUUCACAAGGUUGACCUCGGAUCAGGUAGGAAUACCCGCUGAACUUAAGCAUAUCAAUAAGCGGAGGA